AUCAACAAAGUGUCUAACAGCAACUCGAAUUCUUCUUAGGUUAAAGGAACUUGCUCAGUGGAGGUGGGAUUCAAACCAAAGCAGUCUGAUUCCAGAAUGAUUCCAGUUUGUUUUCUUAACAGAUUGAUGGAAGACAUUGAAGACUUCUUUACUUGAACUCCCUGCAGACUGAGAAGAAGACACUCAGUUGAUUUGAAGGAAUUCAAACUGUUUAAGCGAAGGAUUUUUGAAGACUGUGGAUCAUCUUGGAUUUU